AGUGGCAAAAGGGCUAGAGUUUAAAGUUGGAUGCUGAAGCUGGAUUGACAUUUGUGAAACAAAGCAGGCAAGGUUUAGAACUUCACCUUGGCAGUUUCUAAAACGUUAAACAGAACCAGUUGCCCAUUCUAGUCAAUGAAUUUGAAUGACUGCUGAUUGGAUUUUAAGUUUCGUUACUUCUGGUUGCUGUCAUGUCUAAUUUCCUUGGGAAUUGUGUUUUAAAUAGUUGGUGGCAACUACAGAUGUUCUAUUAUAUAUGUUCAUGCAGAUUUCUUUUCUAUCCUGUUCUGGAUUCCUAUUUUAUUUAUCUCCUUAUUCCCAAGGAAAUUAGACAUGACAGCAA
rnacentral:misc_RNA from 1 species